rnacentral:rRNA from 1 species
GACGAACGCUGGCGGCGUGCCUAAUACAUGCAAGUCGAACGCAUUUUCUUUCACCGUAGCUUGCUACACCGAAAGAAAAUGAGUGGCGAACGGGUGAGUAACACGUGGGUAACCUGCCCAUCAGCGGGGGAUAACACUUGGAAACAGGUGCUAAUACCGCAUAAUUCCAUUUACUGCAUGGUAGAUGGAUGAAAGGCGCUUUUGCGUCACUGAUGGAUGGACCCGCGGUGCAUUAGCUAGUUGGUGGGGUAACGGCCUACCAAGGCUGCGAUGCAUAGCCGACCUGAGAGGGUGAUCGGCCACACUGGGACUGAGACACGGCCCAGACUCCUACGGGAGGCAGCAGUAGGGAAUCUUCGGCAAUGGACGCAAGUCUGACCGAGCAACGCCGCGUGAGUGAAGAAGGGUUUCGGAUCGUAAAACUCGGUUGUUAGAAAAGAACAAGGAUGAGAGUGGAAAGUUCAUCCCUUGACGGUAUCUAACCAGAAAGCCACGGCUAACUACGUG